UACGAAGGGGGCUAGCGUUGUUCGGAAUCACUGGGCGUAAAGCGCACGUAGGCGGAUUAUUAAGUCGGGGGGUGAAAUCCCGAGGCUCAACCUCGGAACUGCCUUCGAUACUGGUAAUCUUCGAGUCCGGGAGAGGUGAGUGGAACUCCGAGUGUAGAGGUGAAAUUCGUAGAUAUUCGGAAGAACACCAGUGGCGAAGGCGGCUCACUGGCCCGGUACUGACGCUGAGGUGCGAAAGCGUGGGGAGCAAACAGG
rnacentral:rRNA from 1 species